rnacentral:rRNA from 1 species
GACGAACGCUGGCGGCGUGCUUAACACAUGCAAGUCGAACGGAGUGGCGAACGGGUGAGUAACACGUGGGUGACCUGCCCUGCACUUCGGGAUAAGCCUGGGAAACUGGGUCUAAUACCGGAUGGUGUGGGAUGGGCCCGCGGCCUAUCAGCUUGUUGGUGGGGUAAUGGCCUACCAAGGCGGCGACGGGUUGCCGGCCUGGGAGGGGGGACGGCCACAUUGGUACUGAGACACGGCCCAGACUCCUACGGGAGGCAGCAGUGGGGAAUAUUGCACAAGGGGCGGAAGCCUGAUGCAGCGACGCCGCGUGGGGGAUGACGGCCUUCGGGUUGUAAACUCCUUUCACCAUCGACGCGGUAUCUAACCAGAAAGCCACGGCUAACUACGUGCCAGCAGCCGCGGUAAUAC